CCCUUAGAUGUUCUGGGCCGCACGCGUGCUACACUGAUGCAUUCAACGAGUCUAAAACCUGGUCUGAUAGGGCUGGGUAAUCUUUUGAAAGUGCAUCGUGAUUGGGAUAGAUGAUUGCAAUUCUUCAUCUUCAACGAGGAAUGCCUAGUAAACGCAAGUCAUCAGCUUGCAUUGAUUACGUCCCUGCCCUUUGUACACACCGCCCGUCGCUCCUACCGAUUGAAUGAUCCACUGAAUACCAUGGAUUGAGAGUACGAAUAGGUUCGCUUAUUUCUGCUGCUCGAGAAGUGGAGUAAAUCUUAUCAUUUAGAGGAAGGAGAAGUCGUAACA
rnacentral:rRNA from 1 species